CCUCUUUUAAUAAAACUCGUCUCUCAUUUCCUCCGACUUCCUUUCUUUUCUCUCUUCGGAGCAGCGGGGUGUUCGGUUCCCACCCGGGCAGAUUUGUUACGUCGCCAAUAUUGAAGGCGGUCGACGGUUGACGAUCAUCAUUGUGACUGACGUUGGAGCUGUUGCUGGUGAUCGACGACUGCUGAAGGAGCAGCAGUCAGAGACCGUUUGGUGGUGGUUCUUUGGAUCAGGGCGCCGACGACAUCAUCGAUUUCCUCUUUUCUUAACGGUUCUACGUUUCCUUCACUGCUUCUCCUAUCAGUUUCCGUUCUUUCUCUGGGAAUCAAUUUAAGGUGUUUGACGGGAUGAGGUUGCAGGAACAGCUGUGUGUGUUCAUGAUUAUUAGAGAAGUUUGAAGAAAUGGACGAAGCGCACCAGGUGUUUGUUAAAACGACUAUUUAAAAUCUGGGUUUGAAAUCAAUAAAUGGAAAUGCAAUUUAUAAAGCAAGGGAGCUUUACACCUGAGAAGCUUGAUGCUUUAGUUUCUGUGUUAAAAUUGGUGGGAACAGGACAAAUGGGACCUUCAUGAAGAAGUAUAUGUAUUGAAAAUGUUAGACUUUCAUAUAAUAUUACUUAUAAAAUUAUAUACAAUAGUUCUGCUUAAUAUAUAAAAAACCUUACUGCGCGUUUAUAACAA